rnacentral:rRNA from 1 species
GAUGAACGCUGGCGGCGUGCCUAAUACAUGCAAGUCGAGCGAACAGAUAAGGAGCUUGCUCCUUUGACGUUAGCGGCGGACGGGUGAGUAACACGUGGGUAACCUACCUAUAAGACUGGGAUAACUUCGGGAAACCGGAGCUAAUACCGGAUAACAUCUGGAACCGCAUGGUUCUAAAGUGAAAGAUGGUUUUGCUAUCACUUAUAGAUGGACCCGCGCCGUAUUAGCUAGUUGGUAAGGUAACGGCUUACCAAGGCGACGAUACGUAGCCGACCUGAGAGGGUGAUCGGCCACACGGGAACUGAGACACGGUCCAGACUCCUACGGGAGGCAGCAGUAGGGAAUCUUCCGCAAUGGGCGAAAGCCUGACGGAGCAACGCCGCGUGAGUGAUGAAGGGUUUCGGCUCGUAAAACUCUGUUAUUAGGGAAGAACAAACGUGUAAGUAACUGUGCACGUCUUGACGGUACCUAAUCAGAAAGCCACGGCUAACUACGUG